rnacentral:rRNA from 1 species
CCUACGGGGGGCAGCAGUGGGGAAUAUUGGACAAUGGGCGAAAGCCUGAUCCAGCCAUGCCGCGUGUGUGAAGAAGGCCUUCGGGUUGUAAAGCACUUUCAGUGGGGAAGAAAGCCUUGGGGCUAAUACCCUCGAGGAAGGACAUCACCCACAGAAGAAGCACCGGCUAACUCCGUGCCAGCAGCCGCGGUAAUACGGAGGGUGCGAGCGUUAAUCGGAAUUACUGGGCGUAAAGCGCGCGUAGGCGGUCUGAUAAGCCGGUUGUGAAAGCCCCGGGCUCAACCUGGGAACGGCAUCCAGAACUGUCAGGCUAGAGUGCAGGAGAGGAAGGUAGAAUUCCCGGUGUAGCGGUGAAAUGCGUAGAGAUCGGGAGGAAUACCAGUGGCGAAGGCGGCCUUCUGGACUGACACUGACGCUGAGGUGCGAAAGCGUGGGUAGCAAACAGGAUUAGAUACCCUUGUAGUC